CGAAGUCUGACGAGCACGCCGCGUGAGUGAAGAAGGUUUUCGGAUCGUAAAACUCUGUUGUUAGAGAAGAACAAGGAUGAGAGUAACUGUUCAUCCCUUGACGGUAUCUAACCAGAAAGCCACGGCUAACUACGUGCCAGCAGCCGCGGUAAUACGUAGGUGGCAAGCGUUGUCCGGAUUUAUUGGGCGUAAAGCGAGCGCAGGCGGUUUCUUAAGUCUGAUGUGAAAGCCCCCGGCUCAACCGGGGAGGGUCAUUGGAAACUGGGAGACUUGAGUGCAGAAGAGGAGAGUGGAAUUCCAUGUGUAGCGGUGAAAUGCGUAGAUAUAUGGAGGAACACCAGUGGCGAAGGCGGCUCUCUGGUCUGUAACUGACGCUGAGGCUCGAAAGCGUGGGGAGCAAACAGGAUUAGAUACCCUGGUAGUCCACGCCGUAAACGAUGAGUGCUAAGUGUUGGAGGGUUUCCGCCCUUCAGUGCUGCAGCUAACGCAUUAAGCACUCCGCCUGGGGAGUACGACCGCAAGGUUGAAACUCAAAGGAAUUGACGGGGGCCCGCACAAGCGGUGGAGCAUGUGGUUUAAUUCGAAGCAACGCGAAGAACCUUACCAGGUCUUGACAUCCUUUGACCACUCUAGAGAUAGAGCUUCCCCUUCGGGGGCAAAGUGACAGGUGGUGCAUGGUUGUCGUCAGCUCGUGUCGUGAGAUGUUGGGUUAAGUCCCGCAACGAGCGCAACCCUUAUUGUUAGUUGCCAUCAUUCAGUUGGGCACUCUAGCAAGACUGCCGGUGACAAACCGGAGGAAGGUGGGGAUGACGUCAAAUCAUCAUGCCCCUUAUGACCUGGGCUACACACGUGCUACAAUGGGAAGUACAACGAGUUGCGAAGUCGCGAGGCUAAGCUAAUCUCUUAAGCUUCUCUCAGUUCGGAUUGCAGCUGCAACUCGCCUGCAUGAAGCCGGAAUCGCUAGUAUCGUCGAUCAGCACGCGCGAUGAUACGUUCCUGGUCUGUACACACCGCCCGUCACACCACGAGAGU
rnacentral:rRNA from 1 species